UGAAAUAAAAAUACGACGGUGUAAGAACCGAAAAAAUAAAAAGAUGAUGGUUUAAGAACCGAAAAAUAAAAAGACGACAGUGUAAAAACAAGAAAAUAAAAUGACAAAUUGUGUACAAACCGAAAAAUAAAAAGAGGGCAGUGUAAGAACCAGAAAAUAAAAAUAAAAACGGUGUAAGAACCGGAAAAUAAAAAGACGACGGUAUAAGAAC
rnacentral:lncRNA from 1 species